CCUGAGCUAUUAACCCAAUCAGAGCACUAAGAAAAGACAGUAAAUAUACUAGCCCUAGGUAAAAUUUAAAUCUAGAUGUAUUUAGCCACUGUAACUUUAAAUCUCAAGAUAUAAACAAGGAUUAGAUACCCUUCUAUACUAGAGACCCCUAUAGCAGGGUAGUAACUAGCUAUGUUCUUCAAACCCAAAGGAUUUGGCGGUGCUCUAUCUAAUUAGAGGAACCUGUAGGGUAAACGUAAUUACGCGCUUAAACUUUCCACAGUUCAGCUUGUAUACCGUCGUCUUGACAGGUUUAAAAGAAUCUAUCCCAAGGAGCUAUAAGAAUGGCAGAUCAAGGUGCAGCGUACUAUGGUCCAUAUGGGUUACAAUCUAAAUAAAGUUGGACAGGUAAUUUAACCCACCUUGAAAGAGGAUUUAACAGUAACUUAGGUUUAAUACACCUAUUUGAAGCUGCUAUAGAGCACGCACAUAUCGCCCGUCACUCUCAUCUAGU
rnacentral:rRNA from 1 species